AUGAUUUAAGGUCUAGCCUGCCCAAUGAGAUUUUGAAUGGCCGCGGUAUUUUAACCGUGCAAAGGUAGCAUAAUCAUUAGUUUUUUAAUUAAAAGCUGGUAUGAAUGGUUGAAUGAAAAAAUAACUGUCUCUAUUUAAAUUUUUUAGAAUUUUAUUUUUAAGUAAAAAAGCUUAAAUUAUAUUAGAAGACGAGAAGACCCUGUAGAGUUUAAUUAAUUAUUAUAAUAGGAUUUUUAGUAUUUUUAUUUUUAUUAUUUAUAAUUAAUUUAGUUGGGGUGAUUUAAAAAUUUAAUAAACUUUUUUUAUAUUUAUACAUUAAUUUAUGAUUACUUGAUCCUUAUUUUAAGAUUAAAAGAUAAAAUUACCUUAGGGAUAACAGCGUAAUUUUUUUAGAGAGUUCUAAUCGAAAAAAAAGAUUGCGACCUCGAUGUUGGAUUAAAAUAAAAAUUUGGUGUAGAAGCUAAAGUAUUUAGGUCUGUUCGACCUUUAAAAUUUUACAUGAUCUGAGUUUAAACCGGUGUAAGCCAGGUUGGUUUCUAUCUCUAUUUUAAAUAAAUAUUUUAGUACGAAAGGACCAAAUAUUAGGUUUAAAAUUUUAUAUUUGAAUAUAAUU
rnacentral:rRNA from 1 species